UACAGAGACUGAAGCGUUAUUCGGAUUCCCUGGGCGUAAAGGGUGCGCAGGCGGCCAAGUGUGUGAGGCGUGAAAGCCUGGGGCUUAACCCCAGAAUUGCACCUCAAACUACUUGGCUAGAGCAUUGGAGAGGGUAGCAGAAUUCAUGGUGUAGCAGUGAAAUGCGUAGAUAUCAUGAGGAAUACCAGAGGCGAAGGCGGCUACCUGGACAAUUGCUGACGCUCAGGCACGAAAGCGUGGGGAGCAAAAGGG
rnacentral:rRNA from 1 species